CCUAGCUUGCUAGGAAUUCUGUUAGUGGCAGACGGGUGCGUAACACGUGGGAACUUACCUUGCAGUAUGGGAUAACAACGGGAAACUGUUGCUAAUACCAUAUACUCUCUGAGGAGAAAAGAUUUAUCGCUGUAAGAUAGGCCCGCGCUAGAUUAGGUAGUUGGUGGGGUAAUGGCCUACCAAGCCUACGAUCUAUAGCUGGUCUGAGAGGACGACCAGCCACACUGGGACUGAGACACGGCCCAGACUCC
rnacentral:rRNA from 1 species